GGAGGUCAGAGCUCGGCGGGGUGCGGCUAGUGGCGGAGCGCGCUGCGAGGGGAGGGCUUUCCACUGUCGCUGGCGUGAACUCGCGUGCCCGGUGGGUAUCAGGGAAGAACCCCCGCCCCGGACCCCCAGAUCUGCCAUGGCCGAGGUAGCGAUCGUCUCUGCGGCCACGAAGACUGUUUUAACUUGUACCACUUUCCCUUCCAUUUUUCCUGGGGUGCCUCUCACCCUGCAUCUGCGCGUUCAGCAAGCUGGAUUUCGGGAAUGCUCAGUUCAGAAGAGAAAAAAUUGCCGGGAAUCAAGUCCUUCUUUUUGUUAGUCGGUAGUCGAUUGAUGGGAAGUGUUCAAAAUCAUUCGAUGUGGUGACAAGGCUUCACCAGGUACUGCCUUCUAACGAGCUGGCCAUUUCCACAUGUCAGAUAGGACCAACUUGCCUUUUAACUACCCGUGUGAUACUUAAACACUGUUGCCGGUAUCACAGCUUUUCUUCAAAACAGGGCAGUCAGUGAAGGCUCCCCAGGGGAGAUGACGUUUGAGCCGAGUUUCAGAAGAUGAUUGGAGUUUACCACGUGUUCACAGGAAGCAACGAGAAUGAGGGCAUUCCAGUAGCAGGAGACAGCAUGCAUAGAGAUGCUGAUGAAGAAAGAGCCUAGCGCACGUGGGAAACUGCAAAAGUUCAGACUGGUUGGAAUGCUGGAAAUGUUGUGAAUGACAGGAGAUGAGGCUGGCGAGAAAACAGAGGUCAGAUUGUGGAAGGCUGUCAAGCCAAAGACUUUGAUUUUAUUCUUGAGAUUGAUGAGAUGUGUGUAAUCCAGGAGUGUGCAAAACAAUCUGUAAGGGUUCAGAAAACAUACUGCUUCUAUAUAUAGUUACCUUUGUCUUAACUUGAAAAUUUCAAAUUGUGUAGGAGUUACAAUGUGUGUAAUUGUUAUUAUAGUACUGGAUCCAAAUAAUUUAUAAAUAAAUAAAUAUAGACAUAA
rnacentral:lncRNA from 1 species